rnacentral:tRNA from 1 species
GCCCUGGUAGCUCAAUGGAUAGAGCAACAGCCUUCUAAGCUGUAGGUUACUGGUUCGAGUCCAGUCCAGGGCACCA